CUGUUAUAUAGGAAAUAUUUCAAUCAUUUCCGUUCCUGAAGAAGUGCGUGGCCAAAUAAGGCAUUAAAAAAUAUGGAAAUUUUGAAGUUUCAAAAAAUGGGUUCACAGAAUGUCAUAAAAACAAAUUCAGGAAAGUCGAGUAGACUAUUGCGUAACGUUCCAGUUUUAAAAUCGGAUGCAGACUUGCAUAAGAAAUGAAUGCCGACCAUUAUUUCUGGGUGAUAUUAAUAGUAGGAUACAAGUUCUGAAAGCAUGCAUAAAUAAAACAAAUUCUGAUUGGCAUAAGUAUAUGAUGAUAUAUAUCUGAGAGCUCUUUGGAAAAAGUGUCUGAAGUAUCCCCUGACUCUCAUCUGCCCCCAUCGCCCCUCUCUCCCACUGGAAUCAAUCGAAACGAACAACCUGCCCGGAUUUUGUCUACAUUGCAUAAUCAAGUCAGCUAGAACUUUGUAGCAAAUACGUGUAGCUCAUUUAAAAAAUAAUAAUUUACUUUAAUUGGUUCACUUUGUUUAAUGUCUAAACCUUUGUAAUGCACAUACAUACAUGUACUUAAGACCAAAAAUGUUUUAGCCCAUAAGAAUUAAUUAAUUACCCGUGAUUUUAAAUGUGUUCAGUUAUCAAUCAAUCAAUCAAUCAAUCAAUAAUUUGGAUUAAUUAUUUUAUACGGUGACCAUUGACCAUAUCAAAAAUAUAAUUUGUUCCUUUUCUCUCAUACCUCAAAUGUGUAUAAGUAUUAACAAAAUAUUAUGUGCGUUUUAAUCCUUUAUUAUAACUUAAUUACCUAUUUAAUUAAUCUAUGUAGAUUAAUUAAUGGUAGUUUACCCUACCAUGUACCGCACCGUUUACAUUUAUCGUUAGAGAGAGCUUGUUUUUUGUGAUGUACUCUACUUUGUAAAAAUAGUAUGCAAAUUAUAUAUGUGUACACGCUUUAAAGAACAAUUAUAAAUAUAACUCUAAUCUAAUCAAGGGCAUAAUUUGCAUUUAUAACAUUCCCCGGGGAAAGCUUUCUAAUAAAAUAAAUCUGACAUUAACAUUUUGUGGACGAUCAACGAUGUAGAGUGUGUCAGACCUUGGGAUGUGAAA